rnacentral:lncRNA from 1 species
CGAAAAGUACAAAUUCUGUGGCAAAACAAGUUAAUAUCUUGAAUAUCUUUGUUGUCGAGAUGAUUAUUUUCUGGUUAUGAAGGCUAUUUAUUGAUUCAUGGUCAUGAUAAUUUAGGGGAAUAAUCUAUCAAUGGCCAACUUUGCUUUUCUUUUUCAUAGAUGAUCGGUAGUGUUUCAUCAUUUUUCUCUAACUAUUUAUUUAUUUGUUUGUUUGUAUACUGAUUUUGUUUUGCUCCUUAAUUCCUAUCGAUUCAAGGUCUCAUUGCUCCUCAUUCCUAUAACUGUGCAUCAUUUUUUUGCUCCUCAAUCCUAUUUUUUUGUUCAUGUAUUGCUGGUUUAUGGGAUUAUUGUGCACUUUUUCAUUUUGACGAAAUAUUUGAUAACUGACUGUUGGUGUAUCGGUUGUCGUUGUUCUCAACUUUUUGUUUGGUUGUGACAUUUUAUACUAAUUUAUUUUUUUAUUUGUUACAAGUUAUCUAUCAUAUAUUGCAACUUCAUACUCUUAAAAUCUG